UUUACACACACCUUAUAUAUCCUUCACUCGUAAGUAGUAACUCCACUCACGGUUAAUUAUCCUUAAGUUCUUCACAGCAACGUAGAUAACAAACAAAGGGUUGCUUAACUGUCCCAGAAGUGACCACAUUAGCUGUGCGUACUAAAGACUAUUCUGUUUACACCUUAGCCCUGUCUCCAGACUCCGGAGGCCUCAUAGAGAUAAGAUCUACCAGAGUCUGUUGGGCUCUUUGUUGUUAAAUCUCCCCCACAAUGGGGCAGCUGUUUACUAUCAGUAAAAGUUAAUGUAACAGGGGAAUUUAUCGGAAAAAUCCAUUUAGUUAAGAGUUCAUGGCUGUUGAAUCCACCUACUCAUCACUCAAUGUUAUUUGUCCGUGGUCUGUGAGAUGACACAAACUGUGAUCUCCCUGUUUUUUUGGAAAUCUGGAGGAAGAGCAAUCAGAAUAAACAUAAAUGCCUACGUAUGAGCAUCUGCCCUUUUCCCUUACAGUUGGUAGGCAUCUAGAGGUUUGGGAGCAACUGAGAUUCCCUUGCACAAAUAGCAGAUAAGUAAUGAUGUAAAUAACUGUACUGGACUAUCAAUGUUAACUCUCAUUCAUAGAUUAUCCCUAAGUUUUAAUGUUAUAUAUAUAUAUGGAAAUAUAUAUAUGAAAAUGUGAGCCAGAAUAUGCUGCAUCCCUUUCUCCUGUUGCUGGGUGCUACAUGCUGGGUUCUGCAUGUAAUAGAAGAUGCAUGAAGUGAAAGGCAGAGAAGUAUUUUUAUAAGCAUUGGAAAUAUAGAGGUCUGGCAUCCUUUGCGCUUGUAUCUUUUGACGGAUCAAGAGAAGGGAGUUGUGGGCAGUGUGAAAAGAAGAACACAGUCUGAACGUUUUUUCUUUUGGUUCUAUUCAAGGUCUAUACCCUCAGGCCUGUAAACUUCUGGACUUCCCUUUGCCUAGGGCACAAAUAGGAUCCUUUGUCUUCCUCCAGCUUUCCAUUUUGUUCAUUAAGUUUGCAGAAACCUAAUUAUUGUUCAGACUGAUGUCAAACUGCAUUAAAAUCAACUGGUAGUUUCUAAAGAUACUGAGAGCGAUAUGCAGGCAAACAGACUAAACUUCAUGGACUAAAAUGGACUAAAAUUGAGAGGUAUUUUUUUCAUUAACUAAAGUGGGAACAACAUAGAAUGGGAUUAUUUUAAAUGUAAGACUGAUAUAAAUGUAAACAAAAUUAUAUAUUUUUAUGUAAUCAGGUCUUCAAUGGGAAAAUGUGCUACAAAGAUGCAGAAGCCACCAUCAGAGAUCACUAUUUGAGGUGCUUUCCAGAUAGACAAGGGUGGUUCUGUUUUCAGUGAAUUGCUUAUGAACUAGAAAGAAA
rnacentral:lncRNA from 1 species